rnacentral:rRNA from 1 species
GACGAACUCUGGUAUUGAUUGGUGCUUGCAUCAUGAUUUACAUUUGAGUGAGUGGCGAACUGGUGAGUAACACGUGGGAAACCUGCCCAGAAGCGGGGGAUAACACCUGGAAACAGAUGCUAAUACCGCAUAACAACUUGGACCGCAUGGUCCGAGUUUGAAAGAUGGCUUCGGCUAUCACUUUUGGAUGGUCCCGCGGCGUAUUAGCUAGAUGGUGGGGUAACGGCUCACCAUGGCAAUGAUACGUAGCCGACCUGAGAGGGUAAUCGGCCACAUUGGGACUGAGACACGGCCCAAACUCCUACGGGAGGCAGCAGUAGGGAAUCUUCCACAAUGGACGAAAGUCUGAUGGAGCAACGCCGCGUGAGUGAAGAAGGGUUUCGGCUCGUAAAACUCUGUUGUUAAAGAAGAACAUAUCUGAGAGUAACUGUUCAGGUAUUGACGGUAUUUAACCAGAAAGCCACGGCUAACUACGUGCCAGCAGCCGCGGUAAUACGUAGGUGGCAAGCGUUGUCCGGAUUUAUUGGGCGUAAAGCGAGCGCAGGCGGUUUUUUAAGUCUGAUGUGAAAGCCUUCGGCUCAACCGAAGAAGUGCAUCGGAAACUGGGAAACUUGAGUGCAGAAGAGGACAGUGGAACUCCAUG